AGCGUACACGGUGGAUGCCCUGGCAGUCAGAGGCGAUGAAGGACGUGCUAAUCUGCGAAAAGCGUCGGUAAGGUGAUAUGAACCGUUAUAACCGGCGAUGUCCGAAUGGGGAAACCCAGUGCAAUUCGUUGCACUAUCGUUAACUGAAUACAUAGGUUAACGAGGCGAACCGGGGGAACUGAAACAUCUAAGUACCCCGAGGAAAAGAAAUCAACCGAGAUUCCCCCAGUAGCGGCGAGCGAACGGGGAGCAGCCCAGAGUCUGAAUCAGCUUGUGUGUUAGUGGAACGGUCUGGAAAGUCCGACGGUACAGGGUGAUAGUCCCGUACACCAAAAUGCACAGGCUGUGAACUCGAAGAGUAGGGCGGGACACGUGGUAUCCUGUCUGAAUAUGGGGGGACCAUCCUCCAAGGCUAAAUACUCCUGACUGACCGAUAGUGAACCAGUACCGUGAGGGAAAGGCGAAAAGAACCCCGGCGAGGGGAGUGAAAAAGAACCUGAAACCGUGUACGUACAAGCAGUGGGAGCACCUUCGGGUGUGACUGCGUACCUUUUGUAUAAUGGGUCAGCGACUUAUAUUCUGUAGCAAGGUUAACCGUAUAGGGGAGCCGCAGGGAAACCGAGUCUUAACUGGGCGUUAAGUUGCAGGGUAUAGACCCGAAACCCGGUGAUCUAGCCAUGGGCAGGUUGAAGGUUGGGUAACACUAACUGGAGGACCGAACCGACUAAUGUUGAAAAAUUAGCGGAUGACUUGUGGCUGGGGGUGAAAGGCCAAUCAAACCGGGAGAUAGCUGGUUCUCCCCGAAAGCUAUUUAGGUAGCGCCUCGUGAAUUCAUCUUCGGGGGUAGAGCACUGUUUCGGCUAGGGGGUCAUCCCGACUUACCAACCCGAUGCAAACUACGAAUACCGAAGAAUGUUAUCACGGGAGACACACGGCGGGUGCUAACGUCCGUCGUGAAGAGGGAAACAACCCAGACCGCCAGCUAAGGUCCCAAAGUCAUGGUUAAGUGGGAAACGAUGUGGGAAGGCACAGACAGCCAGGAUGUUGGCUUAGAAGCAGCCAUCAUUUAAAGAAAGCGUAAUAGCUCACUGGUCGAGUCGGCCUGCGCGGAAGAUGUAACGGGGCUAAACCAUGCACCGAAGCUGCGGCAGCGACACUAUGUGUUGUUGGGUAGGGGAGCGUUCUGUAAGCCUGCGAAGGUGUGCUGUGAGGCAUGCUGGAGGUAUCAGAAGUGCGAAUGCUGACAUAAGUAACGAUAAAGCGGGUGAAAAGCCCGCUCGCCGGAAGACCAAGGGUUCCUGUCCAACGUUAAUCGGGGCAGGGUGAGUCGACCCCUAAGGCGAGGCCGAAAGGCGUAGUCGAUGGGAAACAGGUUAAUAUUCCUGUACUUGGUGUUACUGCGAAGGGGGGACGGAGAAGGCUAUGUUAGCCGGGCGACGGUUGUCCCGGUUUAAGCAUGUAGGCUGGUUAUCCAGGCAAAUCCGGAUAAUCAAGGCUGAGGUGUGAUGACGAGGCACUACGGUGCUGAAGUAACAAAUGCCCUGCUUCCAGGAAAAGCCUCUAAGCAUCAGGUAACAUUAAAUCGUACCCCAAACCGACACAGGUGGUCAGGUAGAGAAUACCAAGGCGCUUGAGAGAACUCGGGUGAAGGAACUAGGCAAAAUGGUGCCGUAACUUCGGGAGAAGGCACGCUGGUGUGUAGGUGAAGUCCCUGCGGAUGGAGCUGAGACCAGUCGAAGAUACCAGCUGGCUGCAACUGUUUAUUAAAAACACAGCACUGUGCAAACACGAAAGUGGACGUAUACGGUGUGACGCCUGCCCGGUGCCGGAAGGUUAAUUGAUGGGGUUAUCCGUAAGGAGAAGCUCUUGAUCGAAGCCCCGGUAAACGGCGGCCGUAACUAUAACGGUCCUAAGGUAGCGAAAUUCCUUGUCGGGUAAGUUCCGACCUGCACGAAUGGCGUAAUGAUGGCCAGGCUGUCUCCACCCGAGACUCAGUGAAAUUGAACUCGCUGUGAAGAUGCAGUGUACCCGCGGCAAGACGGAAAGACCCCGUGAACCUUUACUAUAGCUUGACACUGAACAUUGAGCCUUGAUGUGUAGGAUAGGUGGGAGGCUUUGAAGCGUGGACGCCAGUCUGCGUGGAGCCAACCUUGAAAUACCACCCUUUAAUGUUUGAUGUUCUAACGUUGGCCCCUGACCGGGGUUGCGGACAGUGUCUGGUGGGUAGUUUGACUGGGGCGGUCUCCUCCCAAAGCGUAACGGAGGAGCACGAAGGUUAGCUAAUCCUGGUCGGACAUCAGGAGGUUAGUGCAAUGGCAUAAGCUAGCUUGACUGCGAGCGUGACGGCGCGAGCAGGUGCGAAAGCAGGUCAUAGUGAUCCGGUGGUUCUGAAUGGAAGGGCCAUCGCUCAACGGAUAAAAGGUACUCCGGGGAUAACAGGCUGAUACCGCCCAAGAGUUCAUAUCGACGGCGGUGUUUGGCACCUCGAUGUCGGCUCAUCACAUCCUGGGGCUGAAGUAGGUCCCAAGGGUAUGGCUGUUCGCCAUUUAAAGUGGUACGCGAGCUGGGUUUAGAACGUCGUGAGACAGUUCGGUCCCUAUCUGCCGUGGGCGCUGGAGAAUUGAGGGGGGCUGCUCCUAGUACGAGAGGACCGGAGUGGACGCAUCACUGGUGUUCGGGUUGUCAUGCCAAUGGCACUGCCCGGUAGCUAAAUGCGGAAGAGAUAAGUGCUGAAAGCAUCUAAGCACGAAACUUGCCCCGAGAUGAGUUCU
rnacentral:rRNA from 1 species